CGAAUAAUAAACUUGAAAGAUUACACACCAUUAGAAAUAAGUAAUCACGACUGCAAUUAUCCUCUUGUUAGAAUUCCUUCGCGCAUUAAACAUAAUUAAAAAUAAUCGUUCAAAAUGUCAAUAAUUUAAUAGGCCUGCACCAGGCACUUUGAAAUCUUCUUAAGAAAUAAAAAGUACUAAUUCCCCACUUUACAGGAUUCCAGACAACCUACUUCCAAUUCUGUGCAACAUUUUGAAAUUUUCGCCAAGUCGUCAUCUUUUUAUUCUAGUGAUUUCAUCUAAUUUAUGCGUCGCUGUGAAAGUGCAUUUUCCGCAACGGCUUGGUGGCACUUGUCCAAAAACUCCCGCCCUUGAACUUUCAACCCGUCCUUUAUGAAUGAAAAUUAUUCAGGAUUAGCCAGAAGCCUGUCAGAGAGUGAAAAAAGGCAUGCGGUGGAUUGGAGGGAAAAAAUCCCAUUGCGGUUCUAGCGAGUUUAUUCACCUCGCUAUUAUUUUUCUAAUAGAAAAGAACACCGUGAAUAAAGUUCGUAAUCGUUGAA